rnacentral:rRNA from 1 species
UACGAAGGGGGCUAGCGUUGUUCGGAAUUACUGGGCGUAAAGCGCACGUAGGCGGAUCGAUCAGUCAGGGGUGAAAUCCCAGAGCUCAACUCUGGAACUGCCUUUGAUACUGUCGAUCUAGAGUAUGGAAGAGGUGAGUGGAAUUCCGAGUGUAGAGGUGAAAUUCGUAGAUAUUCGGAGGAACACCAGUGGCGAAGGCGGCUCACUGGUCUAUUACUGACGCUGAGGUGCGAAAGCGUGGGGAGCAAACAGG